GGAAGAGAUCGCACCCCGGUGGGGCGCUCGGACUUCAAAUCCGGGAGGGGUCGCCAUGCGAUCCCGGGUGGGUUCGACUCCCACUCUCUUCCGCCA
rnacentral:tRNA from 1 species